UAGGGAAUAUUGCACAAUGGGCGCAAGCCUGAUGCAGCAACGCCGCGUGCGCGAUGAAGGCCUUCGGGUCGUAAAGCGACUUUUCUGGAGGAAGAGCAAGGACGGUACUCCAGGAAGAAGGAUCGGCUAACUACGUGCCAGCAGCCGCGGUAACACGUAGGAUCCGAGCGUUAUCCGAAUUUACUGGGCGUAAAGCGCGUGCAGGCGGUUUUGGAAAGUUGGACGUGAAAUCUCCCGGCUCAACUGGGAGGGGUCGUUCAAGACUGCCAGACUAGAGGGCAGUAGAGGGAGGUGGAAUUCCCGGUGUAGUGGUGAAAUGCGUAGAUAUCGGGAGGAACACCAGUGGCGAAAGCGGCCUCCUGGGCUGCACCUGACGCUCAGACGCGAAAGCUAGGGGAGCGAACGGGAUUAGAUACCCCGGUAGUCCUAGCCGUAAACGAUGUGGACUUGGCGUCGGUGGGUUCAAAUCCGCCGGUGCCGCAGCUAACGCGUUAAGUCCA
rnacentral:rRNA from 1 species